rnacentral:rRNA from 1 species
GAUGAACGCUGGCGGCGUGCCUAAUACAUGCAAGUCGAGCGAACGGACGCGAAGCUUGCUUCUCUGUUGUUAGCGGCGCACGGGUGAGUCACACGUGUAUAACCCACCUAUCAUACUGGGAUCUCUUCGGGACACCGGCUAUUAUCCCGGAUGAUCUUUUGCACCACAUGGUUCAAAGGUGAAGACGGUCUUGCUGUCACUUAUUGAUGGAUCCGCGCUGCAUUAGCUAGUUGGUGAGGUACCGGCUUACCAAGGCAACGAUGCAUAGCCGACCUGAGCGGGGGAUCGGCCACACUGGAACUGAGCCACGGUCAAGACUCCUACGGUAGGCAGCAGUAGGGAAUCGUCCGCAAUGGGCGAAAACCUUACGGAGCAACGCCGCGUGAGUUAUGAAGGUCUUCGGAUCGGAAAACUCUGUUAUGAGGGAAAAACAGAUGUGGAAGGAACUGUGCACAGCUUGACGGUACCUAAUCAGAAAGCCACGGCUAACUACGUG